rnacentral:rRNA from 1 species
AUACGGAGGACGCGAGCGUUAUCCGGAUUCAUUGGGUUUAAAGGGUGCGCAGGCGGCCGUGCAAGUCAGCGGUGAAAGCCCGGGGCUCAACCCCGGAAGUGCCGUUGAUACUGCAUGGCUGGAAUGCGGUCGAGGCGGGCGGAACGUGGGGUGUAGCGGUGAAAUGCGUAGAUAUGCCACAGAACGCCGAUAGCGGAGGCAGCUCGCCAGGCCUGCAUUGACGCUCGGGCACGAAAGCGUGGGGAUCGAACAGGAUUAGAUACCCUGGUAGUCCACGCCGUAAACGAUGGGCGCUCGUCGUCGGCGGCAGACAGUCGGCGGCCAAGCGAAAGCGAUAAGCGCCCCACCUGGGGAGUACGGUCGCAAGGCUGAAACUCAAAUGAAUUGACGGGG